CUAAACCCGCAUGCAAGUUUUCAAUUGUCAUAUAUUCAUGCAUCAUGUUCGAUAUUUCCGUGGUUAAACAGUGAUCAUUCACCCUAGAGACUUAUACAUCAAACCCACAUGUUCGACAAUACCAAACAUUAAUGCUUGUAGGAAUUCAUGUAUCAUAGUCAUACGAUACACUAUUAUGUAUCAUACCUCACAUCCAAAACC
rnacentral:lncRNA from 1 species